rnacentral:rRNA from 1 species
GGAAUUCCUGGUGUAGCGGUGGAAUGCGCAGAUAUCAGGAGGAACACCGAUGGCGAAGGCAGGUCUCUGGGCCAAUACUGACACUGAGGAGCGAAAGCGUGGGGAGCGAACAGGAUUAGAUACCCUGGUAGUCCACGCCGUAAACGGUGGGCGCUAGUUGUGCGAACCUUCCACGGUUUGUGCGACGCAGCUAACGCAUUAAGCGCCCCGCCUGGGGAGUACGAUCGCAAGAUUAAAACUCAAAGGAAUUGGCGGGGCCCCGCACAAGCAGCGGAGCAUGCGGCUUAAUUCGACGCAACGCGAAGAACCUUACCAAGGCUUGACAUAUACAGGAAUAUGGCAGAGAUGUCAUAGCCGCAAGGUCUGUAUACAGGUGGUGCAUGGUUGUCGUCAGCUCGUGUCGUGAGAUGUUGGGUUAAGUCCCGCAACGAGCGCAACCCUCGUUCUGUGUUGCCAGCAUUUAGUUGGGGACUCACAGGAGACUGCCGGGGUUAACUCGGAGGAAGGUGGGGAUGACGUCAAAUCAUCAUGCCCCUUAUGUCUUGGGCUGCACGCAUGCUACAAUGGCUGGUACAAAC